rnacentral:piRNA from 1 species
UAGAACCGCGUGUUUCUAAGGUGUGUCUUC